CUCUUCCUGCUAUUUCGGUGACUCGGCCUAAUAGAUCUUCGUUUUCUACGGUUGAGGGCAACAUUAUUGGUGACCGGCAAGGGACGGCGAUGACUGGCUGGUAGCCAGCGAGGGACACGAUGGCUAGCCGGGAGGGGGAUUGUUGAUAGUGGACAUGUGGCAUAGUGUUCUUGCCUUAGAAUGAGUGGCAUUAUGUGUAAUUUUGAUAUUUUUUAAUUACAUUAUUGUGAAAUUAGGUAUUAUUUUUUGUUUAAAAUGAAAUAGUUAAAUUUGGCAUAAUGGCAUCUUUGUGUAAUUUUGAGGUUUUUCAAUGCAUGAUUGUAAAGUUACAUCCUAUUUUUUAGUCA